UAGGUAUGACUACAGAGUUUGGAGAAAAACGUAAUGAAGAACCAAAAGGCAAGACUACAGGUUCGGAAGAAAAAUGUAAUGAGGAACCGAAAGGUACAACUACAAGUUCGGAAGGAAAACGCAUACGAAGAACAAAAAGGUACGACUAUAGGUUCGGAAGAAAACGUAAUCAACAACUAAAAGGUA